AUACAUGCAGUCGAGCGGACAGAAGGGAGCUUGCUCCCGGAUGUUAGCGGCGGACGGGUGAGUAACACGUGGGUAACCUGCCUGUAAGACUGGGAUAACUCCGGGAAACCGGAGCUAAUACCGGAUAGUUCCUUGAACCGCAUGGUUCAAGGAUGAAAGACGGUUUCGGCUGUCACUUACAGAUGGACCCGCGGCGCAUUAGCUAGUUGGUGGGGUAAUGGCUCACCAAGGCGACGAUGCGUAGCCGACCUGAGAGGGUGAUCGGCCACACUGGGACUGAUACACGGCCCAGACUCCUACGGGAGGCAGCACUAGGGAAUCUUCCGCAAUGGAGUAAAG
rnacentral:rRNA from 1 species